CACUCUGGAAAUCAAAUCACUCUUCUGGAAAUCAAAUCAGAGAUCUAGCCUAAUGGUUGAAACGGAAGAAAGAUCGGGAUCCAGCUACUGCUCUCAAUCGCACUCCAAAUCUCAUUCUCUUUCGCACUCUCGCUCUCAAUCUCAUUGGCGGUCUCGAUCGUGCUCUUCCGCUCCUUGAAUCUCUCUCUCGUUUCAACAAAUUCUAGGGUUGGGUUUGUUAUUCUCUAUUUUGAGGGUUCAACGCUGUCUGAAUUGUCUGGGAAAAGGCUAUGACUGAUUCCAACGAGCCAAAGGAAAGGUCUAUGCUCGCCUCUCUCUUGCCGGUGCUCGCCUCUCACUCUCGACGGUUUGUACUGGCCUCUAGCCGGCUCAUCUGCUCGUCUCUGUGUGUGCUCCUCUGCUCGCCUCCAUCUGUCGCUUUGAAUUUCUAUUUGAAUAGAUGUGUUCGAGCGGCUCAUAGCGCUGAGAGGCAAUGCCAUGCCCUUAUAGUAUUCAUGGUCUUGUAAAAGGAACUAUAAGAACGGUUAUGUGUGGUGUGACUUGGCACUUAAUGACAUAAUACACCCCGAUGAAGGAGCAGAAUAUAUACUCAAAAGGAUCUGAAUUUGUUCAAGCUUCUUCUGAUCCUGGUGUCUUGUGCUAAGACACCAGAAUAGGCAUUGGUAUACAUAUUUGGUGAAGCUAGAAGAACCACACCAUCAAUUCUCUAUUUACCAUAAUUUGAUGUUUGGUGGAAACUGCUCAUGAACAACUCAGAGCUGUUCUCCUGACUUUGCUAGACAAAUUGUCAUCUGACAUGCCUAUCCUUCUACUGGGAACAUCCUCAGUUGUGCUAGCUGAAGUUGAAGAUGUACCACAUUCAGUUUUUCCUCAUCGUUCAGUGUAUCUUUGAUCUAAUUCACAACAAAACACUGAUUUUUUAUAUGGAAUGUUCAUAGAGUUUAAGUGCUAUAAGUAUUUUUUUUCUUUUCUCAUUUUAUUUGCAUCACGAAGCAAACUUGUACAAUGAUUAUUGAUUAAUGAAAGAUGUUAUAAAAAUUUUAUUUUGUGAA